rnacentral:rRNA from 1 species
UACGUAGGGGGCGAGCGUUGUCCGGAAUCAUUGGGCGUAAAGAGCGCGUAGGCGCCCGACAAGUCCGCUGUGAAAGUCAAGGGCUCAACCCUUGAAUGCCGGUGGAUACUGUCGGGCUAGAGUCCGGAAGAGGCGAGUGGAAUUCCUGGUGUAGCGGUGAAAUGCGCAGAUAUCGGGAGGAACACCGGUGGCGAAGGCGGCGACCUGGGUCGACACUGACGCUGAGGCAGCGAAAGCGUGGGUAGCAAACAGGAUUAGA